rnacentral:lncRNA from 1 species
AGUCAUACAUGCUAAUUAUGAUAUGGUAGCUUGGAAGUUUGAAAAGCAGACAGAAGCUAGAGAUGUUAGUUCUGCCUGCUAGAUUAAUUUGGUUAAGGCCCAAUCAUUGUCUUAACCUUUGAUCAAGUGAUUGCCACCUGAUUGCUUACUGGGUAUGGGACCAGUAAAGCCCAGUAGGUUAGUAGACUCUCUGAUUGGGAAUAUUUUGUACCCGUGCUUGACGUGCUGGAGAUUGGCAGGGGUGUAGCCUGAAACUCACAUGGAGAUCAGGCCAGACGUGGGGUCCCAUGUGGGGGUGCGUCCCUGGGUUCGAGUAGUCUUAUUCCCAAUCCUUGGGUUUGCUAAUCGAAAGGUCGUUACGUACGACCCCGACAGUCGUACAUAGCUGGUGAUCAGGGUGCUCUCUUGCAGGAUGUAAAUUGAUCCGGGUCGCCGCAAUUCUCGGUUAUGAAUGCACUUGAUCACUGUUGAGCAUCGUAGUAUAACCUCAUGAAUGGAAUAUCUUUCCAAUAUUAAUUUGUUGUAUAACUUAAUUUGUCACUGCUUGCAAAAGUAUCUUUUUGUUAUCAUUUAGACUGGUUAGGUAAUAACUUAAUUGAGUUAAAAGAUAAAGCUAAGAUCUCACUUUUUAGUAAGCUCUUUUGGCAAAAGGUGAGUCAGCCAGUACACUAAAAAACUAUCAUGUAGUUCCAGAAAAACUAUUAUAUUGGUUAGUCGGGUAAGCCUUGCUGAGUACCCCGUACUCAGGGUUAUCCCUUGUGGUUGUUUCAGAGCCACAACAGGAGUCCGCCGAGAAGGAAGCCCCGAAAAACUAGGGUAUUGUUACGAGUCUCGCAAUACCCUAAGAAGUAAAACUUAAAUGUUCUUCUCUCACCCGGACUAGUUUAUGUUUUAAACUCCUAGAAUCCCUCUAACCUGCACUGUUAAGUUUAUUUCAAGCCAAGUUGGAAGAAGCCUAGGAAUUCAUUGAUCUGAAGUAAGAAUGCCUCAGAGAUAUAUCGAAAAUCCAUGGAAGCCAAGGUAAGUUGAUUGGAAGUCAAGAAAUCAAAGCAACAAGAUGAAAUCUUUCUCUCCGAUUCAUAAUACAAGAGAUGCAGGCUCGAAUUGCCGGCAUAAAAAUUAAGUAACUAUCCUACCUUCAGGAAGGCAAAUCCACUCGCCCCAGUAGCAGUGAAAGGAAAGGAGGAUAUUGUGGGUAACAAUAUGGGUAUAAUUGAACUGGCAUCUUAAGAGGUAGAUCUGCAUGUUUAUGAGAAUCUGGAUAGCCUUGGUGUGGAAAUGGAAGAGAAUUUAGAAAGAGUCAUGUGGAGCCCAAUCAAUUGUUUAGCUAAGGAUAAUGUUGAGGGAGUUGAUUCUGAGAAACACAUACCCAAGGUUUGCGAAAUGCAGGGAAUAAUGAUAUUAAGGAACAAGAGGAAGUUUAAUGAGUUUCGAUCUGUUGGAUUUUUGUGACCCCAGAAUGUCGGACCCAAGAGGACACAUUUAAUCCAGGUCAGGAGCCCGUGAUGCAGAGCCACCACAAACUCCUACCUUGGCUGAUGCUAUUGCUAGUCUUAUGAAUUUAAGAGCCGAGCAGGCUAGACUGCUGAACAGGAUUGUUUAGAAUACGAGGAAUCAGCAUGGUUGUCGGGAAUCGAAGCAAUGUCAACAACACCAACUUUUUGGAGACACCAUCUUCAACCUUUAGCACAACAACUUCAUGGGUACUAUCCCAGCUGCUCUAUGCAACCUACAAGUUAUCAAUCAGCUAGAUUUGUCUUACAAUCAUCUCAUGGGAAAAGUACUGAGUGUUCAAAAAUGUUACAGCUGUUACACUCAAUGGCAAUCAGGGUCUCUGCGGCGGAGUAUUUGAGCUGCAUAUGCCUGCAUGCGCUGUUGUUUCUCUGCAUAUAGCAAGAUUAAAAUUUUGGGUUAAAAUAUGUAUCCCCAUUUUUGGUUUCAUGGCGCUAUUCAUAUUAUCGUUAUGCAUUAUACUUCAAUGGAAAAAGUCCUUCAUAAUGCAAUCACCGUUGGUUUCUUCUAGUGAGAAAUUCUAUAAAGUUUCCUACAAGGAUCGAGUUCAGGUCACAGAGUCUUGGAUUGAAAGGGAAGCUAUGGUUCAGUUUACAGAGGAAAGCUAAUCUAAGUAAACAUGGUUGUUGGCUGUUAAGGUUUUUGACAUGAACAUGUAAGGCGCUGAUGGAAGUUUCAUGUCAGGGUGUAAAGCUCUGAGGAGAUGUGUACACUUUUGGGGUAUUGGUGGCCGGGACACUAACAGGAAAAAGGUCAACAGAUCCUGUGUUCUGCAAUGGAGGAAGCAUUAUUAACCUUUAUCAAGAAGAAUUUUCCAAACCAGAUACUUCAUAUCCUAGAUGCUCAACUCCAAGAAGAAUGCCAGGAGUUUUCUAGAGCAAAUUUGGAAAAAGAUAACGCAGUCUACUUAUGCUUGUUAAGGCUGCUAAGAGUGGUACUUUCCUGCACAUAUCAGGCCCUAAUCACUGUAUGAACAUGAGACAAAUUGUUGCAGAAUUACACGCAAUUCCAAACAUUAUAUAUGUUAUGGACACAUGUGUGAUUCUUCGAUGUACGGAAACUCAAAAGAUUGAGUUUGCAGGACUUUAACUCCAAGGUCCUCCAGGCACAUGGUGCACUAGCUAUCUGGCUAGGCAACCCGUUGGAAAGGAAAUAGCUUGGGAUGAUUUCAAGACAAUUAUUUGUACCCAUUUUGUGUUAAAAGGGAUUAUGAGAGUGCAGUUGGAGCAACUUCUAAAGUUUAGCAGAGGCACAAGAGUGUUCGGGAGUAUAUAAAUGCAUUCGACCAUCUGGCCCAAUAUGCUCCCGAAUAUAUGAGCACUGAGUCUGAGAAAAGAGAUUGUUCCCAAGUACUUUUACAGAUUAUAGCUCUGCUGUGAACAUGGUAAUCCCAAGAGAAAAUGAGAGCUUUGGACAAGCCCCUUGGAAAGGAGGAGUCCUUGGAAUGGGAGGACAUUUCUUUCGAGGCAUCUGAAAGUAUUCCUCAGAAGCUGAAGGUUGCUUACUGAGAACCUGCUAGACCGACUUAUAGGCCCCAACAACAAUUGUCAUAUCAGCCAUGGGUUAUCCAGAACCCAGAUAACACUCCAUGUUCAACAAACCCAUAAGUACCUGGAAAUUAAAACACCGCUACCUUUGCAAAUCUACAGCCGUAUUAUAACAUAACUAUGGAAGGACUGGUUUCGCCAAAGAUUUCCAUUUCCCAAAGUGAGGGGGAAAUAUGAAUGAGAAGGCUCAAACUUCCAGCCAAGAAUCGGAUCAAAAGUCUAUCCGAAAGAAGUUCCUUAACCUCAAGGAAGGGACGUGAGCAUUACAUGAAUAUUAAGGAGUUCUAAAAGGUCGAGUUUGCAUGGAAUCCUAAGAACAGUAAGAUGUGUCAAGAUUUGAAGCAAAGGUUUUGAUGAACAAGAAUGAAGGAGAACAUGCGAAGCAUUUGCGCAUUGUUUUGGAUAGAUUCCCGGAUCAUCGACUAUAUGCCAAGUUUAGUAAGUGUGAGUUUUGGCUAAAGAAGGUUCCAUUCCUUGGGCAUGUUUUGUCCGAGAAUGGAAUUGAAGUGGAUCCUGGAAAGGUCAAGGACAUAUUGGAUUGGAAAUUGCCAACAACUAUUCGUGAAGUAAGAAGUUUUCUUGGAAUGGCCGGAUGCUACCGAAGUCAGAUCUGAAUAUGAGGCACGAGAUGGCUGGAACUGAUCAAAGACUAUAAGCUAAAGAUUCUAUCAUCCGAGUAAAGCUAAUGUAGAAGCUGAUACCCAGAGCAGACAAGCUCAAUGCCACUGCAUUACAAUUCAACCAAAUGUUAAAAACAUUGUGUGAAGAGUUAGAAGAUCUAAAAUUAGGAAUGAUAAUGCAAGGUACCCUGCAUAAUCUUAUCUUGUAUGAUACCUUAAAAGAAGAGAUAGACCAAGCCCAGAAAAGGAACAAAGGAAUGAGAAUACUUCGGGAACAAGUAAGCCAAGGUGAUGUUACUUGUUUUACCCAGGAUGAAAAAGGGGUGCACUAUUUCAAAAACUGAAUAGUAGUACCCAAGAAGAUGGGUUUGAGAGAGAAGAUCCUAGAUGAAGCUCAUUUGUCAAGAUUCUCUAUCCACCCUGGAAGUACUAAGGUGUAUCGAGAUCUAAAGCAACGAUUUUGGUGGACAAGAAUGAAAAGGGAAAUGGCCGAGUAUGUAUCUGAAUGUGAUACAUGCCAAAGGGUGAAAGCUAUACCUCAGAAAUCGGCUGGCUUACUGCAACCCUUAACCAUUCCAAAAUGGAAGUGGGAAGACGUUUCCAUGGAUUUGUAGUAGGAUUUCCUACUACCUCAAAGGGGUAUGAUUCCAUAUGGGUUAUCGUAGAUCGACUCACUAAGUCGACUCAUUUCAUUCCUGUCAAGACCACUUACCGUAUGCUAUCUUAUGUGGAACUCUAUAUGUCUCGGGUAGUAUCUUUACAUGGAGUACCCAAGACAAUUGUCUCUGAUCGUGGUUCUCAAUUCGUCUCUAGAUUCUGGGAACAAAUGCAUGAGACAAUGGGAACUACCCUUAUUAGAAGCAAAGGAUGCUUGGUCUGACAGAAAGGGUAAACCAAACCUUGGAAGAUAUGCUUCGAGCCUGUGCUCUUACCUUCUCGAAAAAAUGGAAUGAAUGUUUGCCUCUAGUAGAAUCCUCCUACAACAAUAGUUACCAAACUAAUAUACAAAUAGCACCCUAUGAAGCAUUAUAUGGCCACAGGUAUAGAACACCUUUAAAUUGGUCGGAAUCAGGAGACAGAGCACAUUUAGGACCAGAUCUAGUCAUUGAAGCUGAGGAAAAAGUUCGGAAAAUUCGCAAGAACCUUGAAAUAGCUCAAUCCCGACAAAAAAAGUUAUUCGGAUAAAAGAAGAAGAUCUUUGGAGUUUGGUGUUGGAGACUUUUGUAUAGUUCAAAAUAUCUCCGAUGAUAGGAGUGUACUGAUUUGAAGUUAAAAAAAAAUAGCUCUAAGAUAUAUUAGUGCGUAUGAAAUACUGGAAUGGAGAGGUCCAGUUGCAUAUAAACUUUCAUUACCAGACCAACUUUCAUGUAUCUCAAUUCAAGAAAUGCUUGAGGAUCCCAAAAGAAGAAAUAUUGGAAGAUCUUAAAGUGGAACUAAAACCAGAUCUAACAUAGGAAGAAAACCCCAUGAAAACUCUGGAUCGGAAGACUAGAGAUACUCGUACUAAGAGUAUCAAAUUUUACAAAGUGCAAUGGAAAAAUCACACUCCAGAUGAGGCCACUUGGGAACUGGCAGAGCAAUUGGAAUCCAAAUACCCUGAAUUGUUCGAGACUGCCGAAAUCAGAUAAACAGUCAUUGAUAAACAACCACCCCAACUCUCUUCAUGAAGAAUAAUGAAAGAUGUCUGUAUGACGCAGUUUCCUUUCCACUCUCCAGCAGAGGCUUUAGCACUUGGAAUCUCAGGACGAGAUUCUUUUAAGGGCGAGAGGCUAUAACACCCAGUGUUAGUGACAACUUAAAUUAAGACAUUAAGAGGCUAAUGGUGAAUUUGGAUCAAAGGAAGGUAAAUUGAGCCAAAAAUCAAAUUCGAGCCGAAUUCGGCCAAAUUUGCAAUUUGGAGUUUCAAAUUUGGAUAAAUUUGGCAAAAGUAGGAAGUUGAGACUUGAGAGUAUUUAGAACUCAAGAGAGUGAAGCUUGGGAUCUAAUUCAAGUCAUAAACCUCUUGGAAAUAUAAUCCAAGAAGGAAUCAACAAAGUUACUAUUUCCCGUCCGAAAAUAUGCGAAUCUAAAAAACAUAAUGAGUACCUAACUUUGGAAUUGGUUUCUGCAUAAUUUUUCAUAUAAGGGGGCAAAGGUUUCUGAACAUUAUUGAGAUAUGGUCCUUAGACAAGCAUAGUAAGAUGUUGUGGGCCAGAGAAAGUGGAGAAUUCACCUUUAUACUGAGGCCCAAAAAUGGUAGGUUGGACUGAUUUCAUCCGAGAAGACGCGAGGAAUUCCAAAGUCCGAAAAAAGCAUUGAUUAACAAUGUUUGGAGUCAAUUUCAGGAAAAUCCAGUGUAGAGGUUAUAUGGUUUCUUGUGCAAAAUGGAAUCUUUGUUAGAUGUAGAACAAGGAUAGGCAAGGUUCAAGCUGUAUGGAAGGAGUUUGAGCAAUUUAAAUCGAGCUCAAAGUAGGGAAGAAGUCCCUAUGCUAGAACCUGACGAAACUGAAUCGUCAAGGUUCAUAUACACCAAAUUGUGGCCGAACUUCGAGCUUCAGAAAUCUCGUUAUUAGAGUAAUUAUCUCGGGUAAAGGCCAAUCUAUCAAUUGAAGUUCUUGGAUUACUCUACAAAAUUACUUAAGGGAUCUUUGAGAGAUUGGAUUUGAAAUUGGUCGAUGUGGAGGUCUGAACUUCGGAGAGGAGAAAGAAGAAACAGGUUAGGGGGCGAGCAGGGGACAGAGCCGUGCCGCCGCCGGCACCUCUGCCCGCCGGCCAACGCGACGGCCAUGUCCGCGCCCACGCAGGCCUGCAGCUCAUCGAUGUGGCACACAUGCACGGUAAAAGUCCCGUAUCUUUACCGCCUCGCCCUCAUCCCAUUUAACCCUCCGCCUUUUCUACUGCCAUGCGAGCCAAAGCUCAGUCAAGCAACGCCGCUGCCAGCCGAUUCACCCACCCCGCCGCUCCUCUUUGCGAUUCCACCCGCCCAAGGUUCCGCCAGCUCCUCCUGAACGCCCCACGCCCCUCCAUUUCCAAGCUCCCCGCCGUCAAGCUUUGGUUUGCUGCUGUUUUAAUCCGCCGGCCGCCAUCACCAAAUCCACGAGGUGAGCCUCUGAACCGGCCAUGUCUUCUCAAUUGGCGGGUCUAGGGGCGUCCUGCGAGCGUGUUGGAGAUGAAGGAGGAGUCGUGGGAGGCAUUUGCGCCGCCUCCGUGCGCCACCAGGGCCGGCCGCUGGCCGAGCCGCGACCGCCCGUGGAGGGGCCGGCUCGGGCCGCCUCCCGGCGAGCUGCGGUUGGGCGUGGGUGCGCCUGGCCUGGGCACCGCCGCCUCAGCCUGCUCAGCCGCCGGAGAGCCGCCGUUGGCCAGGCCGCCCCGUUUUUCCCCUGCCGGCGUGCGCCCGACCUUGGCCAGGGGAAGAAGAAGCCCCUGACCGAGGGGGCCCGCCCGUCAGCCGCAAGGAGGGGGAAGAGAAAAAGAAAAGGCCAGCCAUCCAUUUUGGGCCAAGGGAAGGCACCGGCCCAGCUGGCCCACGUGACGUAAAAGGAAGGGAGUGCUGGCGGGCCACUUUUCGGCCCAAGGAGAGGCGCUGGCCAUGGGUCCCGCUCGUUAGUAAGAAGAAGGGGACGAGAGUAGGAGGCCCGGUAGGCCUUUUUGCCUAUAAAGAGACCGGUUUGUGGGCCCUAGGUGGAAGUGGUGGUGGGUAGAAGAGGGCUGGGUAAGAAAAGUUUUGAGCCGGGGUUUUGGAUAAACCUUAGGUUUUCCUUUUAUAGAUAAAGAGUUAAAAUUCGGUUUACAGCGUUUAAUUCACAGGAAAUUCUAGAAGUGCCCAAAAUUAGUGAAACUAAUUUUAUUAGGAUUGUUUUAUUUUCCUUUAUGCAUGAAAAUUCUUAAACCCUAGGAAAAAUAAAAGAAAUUUAGGUAUUUAUUUAAUGCCUUUUUGUUUAAGGUAUUUAAAUAAAUGCUUAAACUUUAUUAAAUGUAUAAAACUUGAAUAAUGCUUUAUUAUCCACAAAUCAUUAUUAAGUCAUAGGAACUAAGUUUUGAGAUUAGAAAAUUAUUAUAAUUCUUUUAAAAAAAAUAAAUAUAAAAGAAAAAGUCUAAGGUAGGAUUAGUAAAGGAAAUAAAAAAGGUGGGUUUAAUCUUUUCGGGUUUUUGUGUGUUGGCUUGCAACUUUAUCAUGAUAAAUUGUGUAGUCACUUGUUUGCUUGCAACUUUAUCAUGAAGGAAAGUUGUAUAGUCUUGUAUUCAAAAAGUUGCAUCACUAAUCCAUGCAUAUGCUAUAUCGUAGACACCGAAGCACCUGAAGAGGAAUUCUUGGAAUAGAAGGAUCUUCGGAGUUUGAGGAGAUCGUUGAAUUGAUCCCCUGUGAAGCCAAUCCGUCGGACAGUACUAACAUUUGUAUAGAUAAAGGCAAGCCCCGGUGCAUUUAUACCUAUCUAUUUUGGAGUUAUUAUUUCAUGUGUCCAAUUAUUGGUUAAUUUCUACAUGAAUGCAUUAAGUCUAGGAGUUGAUUGAAACCCAUUCUUGUGCAUAAUCAUACCUUGUUUUAAGGACAUCUUUGCCACUUGUUCAAAUAAAUAGAAAGUAACCCAAUUUUAGAAAUGCUUAGAUGCUUAAAGUAACUUAGUUACCGAACCUUAUGGUGAAAUGAUGAGUCAUACAUGCUAAUUAUGAUAUGGUAGCUUGGAAGUUUGAAAAGCAGACAGAAGCUAGAGAUGUUAGUUCUGCCUGCUAGAUUAAUUUGGUUAAGGCCCAAUUAACCUUUGAUCAAGUGAUUGUCACCUGAUUGCUUACUGGGUAUGGGACCAGUAAAGCCCAGUAGGUUAGUAGACUCUCUGAUUGGGAAUAUUUCGUACCUGUGCUUGACGUGCUGGAGAUUGGCAGGGGUGUAGCCUGAAACUCACAUGGAGAUCAGGCCAGACGUGGGGUCCCAUGUGGGGGUGCGUCCCUGGGUUCAAGUAGUC